GAGAGAGGGAGGGAGAGAGGGAGGGAGGGACAGGGACAGGGAGAGAGAGAGAGAGAACACGCGUGAUUGGAGAAGGGGGAGGAAGAGAAAUGUGGAAGAGGACAGGGAGAGAGAGCACAGACAGGAAAACUGCAGAAAGCCACAGGGAAAGUACGGUACAGCCUCAGAUAUUUUUAUUUUAAACUUACUUCUAGUUUAUUUCCCCACCACUCCUCUUGGCUCUUGCCUAACUGGGUCGCGUUGGGGAUGUUUGGCAUGGCGCUCUCGCUUUUGUUCGUUUUAAUUCCUCCGGGCCCCCUUCCUCUGCCCGAGGAUUACUAGAUCCCGAAGUCUCCUGCUAACAACCUAGAUCAGCAAGCUCAGCCUACUGUACCACCGCCGGUCUAGAUUUGUUGUUGCUGCUGUUAAGUAGCACUUUCUUCCUUGUGCAGAUGCAGAGCCCUUGUUGUCAAUAUUCAUUUUUUUCUAGUACAAGAUGGGAGCAGCUUAACUCGGAGCAUAGUCCCUCGGUGAGCUGCAGACAGUGGACCACCUCGGAGUCUAGGGGUCCUGGAAGAAGGAAGUGAGACGAGAGUUAGUGGGGUAGGAGUUAGCGGAGAGGGAGUUGUUUGUUGUUUGUUGUUUAUCGAUAUAGCCAAGCGUGUGUGUGUGUGUGUGUGUGUGUGUGUGUGUGUGUGUGUGUGUGUGUGUGUGUGUGUGUACGCGGGUACAACCGCGCGCGACCGGUGUGCGCCUACAAAGUGAAUCUUGGAUCUGGGAAGCACUGGAGGAGAGCGAUUAAAAAGCAACUGGAAGAGAAGAUACUUGUGAGGAGUGGCUGUCGCUCGCUGCCCAGCUUUGUUGUGGUUGCCCUGGGCUCAGCGGCCGCUCGGCUGUAACGAGGGCUAAAGGCCGAGUUAAUUACACCGGGCAGAUUUCGCUGGGUGGGGAGGAUGGGACUGGCUUCUAACGAACUUUUCCCAAAAGGAAAAGGAGGCGAGUGGGGUUAGAAAGGUAAAUACCCGACAAGGUUUUGGUAGAAACUUGUUCUGGCCGGGGUCCCGCUCAAUCCCUGGCCUGAGUUCCAGCUGGCUUUACCUCUGCGCCGCUGCUUCCCGGAGGCUGCGCGUCAAUCAAGCAGAGCCGAGAGCUGGGGGCGGAGCUUUGGUCACCCCGCGCGCGUAGCCCGGCUCACCCUGCCGCCACCCGGCAGCUGGCUGAGCGACCCAGCCAGGCACUGGGAGCGCGCCUUCUCCCCAACUUCUCACCCUCGCCAAGGGUUCCCUGCCCGAGGCCAAGAGAAUCUCAAACAGACUAAGAGACUGCUGUUCUACCGCGGCCUCCCUUCCCAACUCUGAACCCAUUCUGUAAAGUAGAAAGCAGCGCCUCCUGCUUGGAUGGAUGGCUUUGACUGGACUUUCUCGUGGGGGCGGGAGGGGGGAGGAAGGGAUGGAUGGGAGUGGUUAGGAACAGUAAAGUUGUGUGUGUGUGUGUGUGUGUGUGUGCGCGCGCGCGCGCGUGUGUGUGUGUGUGUGUGUGGUGUGUGUGUGUGUGUGAUAGAGAGAGAGAGAGAGAGAGAGAGAGAGAGAGAGAGAGAGAGACAGACAGACAGACAGAGACAGAGAGAGACAGACAGACAGACACGGGGGGGAGGGGGAGGGCUCUUUUUGGCUCCCUUUGCAUCUUGGUUUCUUCUAAGCUUCUGAGUAUCUCAAACUAGCCGAGAUCACUGGCCAUCUAGACUCCUUGCAGAGUCUGAGGAAAUUUGGCCUCGUUUUUCUGGGGCUGGGGAAUGAGCUCCGGAGGUCAAUAAAGCCCUCCAAAAAUGAUGAAUGAUUGAGCACCUGUGAUGAUAAUAGUGAUUACCAGAGCAAUUAAACAGUUUGAUUAAAUGAGCCAUCAUAACAAUGAUGUCUGCGGGAAAUCGGCCCUCACAUAUAAAGACAGUGUGGAGGGGCUGGCAGAGGCGCUGAGAGCGCGCCGGGAGAAGGGAUGCGGCCCGCGCGGAUUUGGCUCCAUGAGCCAAAGCAGGGGCGGCGGGCUCAGGGAGUUUCUGGGGGCAGUCUAGCCUAGGGUUUCGGUCUCUCUUUCUGCCUGGCUUCAAGCCUAAGACAACCAACUCGUCUGGAACCCGAGGGGCCAUAGGGUCCUUUCCUCCUCCUCUCCUCUUCCCCUCCUUUUUUUCCUCCCUAGAAGAACUCCAAGAUUACAAAUACCCACUUCAUUUGAUGCUGAGUUACUCGUCGACACAUAAGAAAAGGUUAAACAUGAGAGCUGGAGAGAUGACUCAGUGGGGGAAGCACUUGAUUUGAAAGCACCAAGACCUGAGUUCAGACUCCCAGAACCCAGAUAAAGCUUGACACACUAUCACAUCUAUAAUCCCAGUGUUCCUAUGGCAAGAAGACAGGUGGGAAUGGGGCAAUUCCCAGCAACUCUUUGGCCAACUAGCCUCCUGUGACAGUGCUAGAGACCCUUUCUCAAAAAAGCUGCAAGGUUUUGCAAGAAGAAGCUGCUUGUUCUUUAGGCAGGUGGCUCCCUGUGCUGCAGUUGAGGAGCUUCAAUCAUCACUGACAAGCCCACAAUCCACAAAGUCCUGGGUGUCUCCUCCAGCUAUCGCUGUCUGAAGCUUUUCAAAGGUUUUUGUAGUCCUCUUAGGUCGCUUUUCAUGCAUUCCACAAUGUAAAUGGAAAAGUUCAUCCACACUGACAUGAAGAGCUCCAUUUUGCUGGAACUUUUUGCUUUUUCACCAGAAAUAAUCCUUUCUUUCUUUUGUGUAAGGCUCAGGCUCAUCUACAAAUUCUUGGACUCUUUCUUAGAGAUGCAUAGCCCAGCAAAAUUGAAGCCUCUCCCCCUGAAAUAGACAUCAACCAACAAGUGUGUGCUGCUUUUAAAACCAAGGACAGGUUGUUGGAAAGAAUGAACUUUCUAAGUGGCAAUGUAGAAACAGUAAGCUGGGACCAAGAAGAGUCACUCAUCAACCACUCCUGUUGUUUUUAGGUAGACUUACUAUGCUUUAAAAAUUGUAUUAUUUCAAUAAAACAAUCUACAAAUAAAUACAAAACAAAAGGGCACGUGUAGGGACACAUUGAAAGGAAGCAUGCAUACCAAAAAGCUAAGUGCAAAUUGGAUUUGAAUAUUCAUGAGUCACAAAUCAUUGACAGUUUGAAACAAUGCAAAACAGCUUUAUAAAUGAGGUUAAGGCAAGGGACACCAAAGGAAUGCAUCAUUAAAUCAAUAGAAGUUUGUGUAUGUACUUGUAAAUUGUGGUUACAGUGUUUGUGACAUGGGAGAAAAAAUACUGUGGAUCUGAUGAAGAGGGUUGACACAUAAAUAUUCCCUCUGCAUGUUAUAUUUUUGCAGUUCAUCAUGUGCUUGGAACUGAGCCAGGUAGAGAGUGGUUGGACAUUGUACUUCCUGCUCAAGAAAGAGUUUCCUUGUGCAGACAGUGAGUUUCAGACCUCUGCCUGGACAGUCUUUAUUUGCCCUGCUAAAAAGUAUUAAACAUACAACCAUUCACACAGUUGAUUCCUAAAGCAGAGGUUAGCACGUAGCAUACAUAACUUUGGAGAAUGACAGCCUUAAAUCAGUUCGUGGGAGCUCCCACCAGAGAGCACGGGAUCUUAGAGAAUGCUCUAAUGCUUAGAAGGGCACAGAGGGGAAAAAUAGCUUUGUGAAGAGUUUGUAAGAAUCUCUUGAUAACAAAGCAAGAACAUUCGCUAACAAUGAGAAAUCAUACAGUGAAAUAAUUGAAGUUGCAAAAUGUUGGCAACCCAGCAGUUCUAUUGGAAGUGUUUUUGUUUUGUUCAGCAGUGACUCUUCACUUGUAGGACCCCGACUGUGGCUGUAGGGAACACGUAGCCUGUGGUUGGAGUCAUAUUUGAGACAGUAGGACUUACAAACCUAAGCCAUCUUAGGGCUUGUGUUAACAUAGGGACACUUCUAAGUUAAGCAGCUUCUCUUAGAAGCUUACUUUGGGUGAUCUGUAAGUUAUGAAGCAUUUCUCUAAGAUGCUGCUCAGCAAAUCUCUUUCUCAUAUCCCAUCUCCGGUUCUUGGAUGAUGGCUGAAGUGGGUGCCACAGCAUGAAAAUCAGGGUGCACAUGGUACCAAUUUGGAAGAAGCUGAAGAAUGUGGUCGGUUUAGAAAAUUCUUCUAUAUCUUUUUGCUGGGCCAUCCUUUAAGGCAGACAUUCAAAUUCAGGAUCUACAAUUCAGCUGAGACAUGACUCAUGAGAAAGAGAUGUCAGCAUUUCUCCAGUUCACUGCCAUGUAGACAAAGAAGCUAACGUGACCCAUGUGUUAACCAUAAUCAAGGACAGCCAUAAGAAAACAAUACAAACAAUAACUUAAUUUUUAAUGAAUGAUUUUUUUUUUUUGUGACCGGGCAAGGUUUCAUAUAUACCUACACUGGACUCAAAUGAAUUUUCUUGUGGCUAAGGAGGUGAUUCAGUGGGUAACAGUGCUUGUAUGUAACCAUGAG
rnacentral:lncRNA from 1 species